ACAGACGAGGAGCUUGCUCCUCUGACGUUAGCGGCGGACGGGUGAGUAACACGUGGAUAACCUACCUAUAAGACUGGGAUAACUUCGGGAAACCGGAGCUAAUACCGGAUAAUAUAUUGAACCGCAUGGUUCAAUAGUGAAAGACGGUUUUGCUGUCACUUAUAGAUGGAUCCGCGCCGCAUUAGCUAGUUGGUAAGGUAACGGCUUACCAAGGCAACGAUGCGUAGCCGACCUGAGAGGGUGAUCGGCCACACUGGAACUGAGACACGGUCCAGACUCCUACGGGAGGCAGCAGUAGGGAAUCUUCCGCAAUGGGCGAAAGCCUGACGGAGCAACGCCGCGUGAGUG
rnacentral:rRNA from 1 species